UGUGGGAGCGGGCUUGCUCGCGAAUGCGGUAUAUCAGUCACCUAUGUGUUGACUGACACACUGCAUUCGCGAGCAAGCCCGCUCCCACA
rnacentral:misc_RNA from 1 species